ensembl:snRNA U6 U6 spliceosomal RNA
GUGCUCACUUCAGCAGCACAUAUACUAAAAGUGGAAUGAUACAGAGAAGAUUAGGGUGGCAUCUGUGAAAGGUUAACAUGCAAAUUUGUUAAGUUUUCCAAAUAUAA